GGGAACUGAAACAUCUAAGUACCCAGAGGAAAAGAAAUCAAUUGAGAUUCCCCUAGUAGCGGCGAGCGAACGGGGACCAGCCGAGCCAUGAUUGUGAAUAGAACGUGUUGGGAAGCACGGCCAUAGUGGGUGACAGCCCCGUAUAUGAAGCAUGAUUGGACGUAUUAAGUAGGGCGGAACACGUGAAAUUCUGUCUGAAGAUCGGAGGACCACCUUCGAAGGCUAAGUACUCCUUACUGACCGAUAGCGAACCAGUACCGUGAGGGAAAGGUGAAAAGCACCCCGACGAGGGGAGUGAAACAGUACCUGAAACCGAGCGCCUACAAUCAGUCGGAGCUUG
rnacentral:rRNA from 1 species